ACAGGUGGCGAAAACGAGCUUUAUUUUUCUACCAUGCGAUGAAACUGUCAUCGAGAUCAGGAGAGCUAUAUAAAGAGAGCGACACUACAGUAAAAUUCUUUUGAUAUCAGAACUCCGCCGUUGUCGGGCUAGGUUUCUGGAUUUCAUUGUUGGUUUCUACCAUUUCAUUUGUUAUCCAUGUGAGCUGCACUCGCUUAGGCUUUGUUACAGUGUGUUUAAUUGUAACAUAUUUAGGUCAUCUGGAAUCAUUGGGUUUUGUGGAGAUUAAUUGCUGAAGUUUCAUUUACCUGUCCAGGGUACACACACACACUUAGACGAGUGAUAGCUGCGUAAAUUGAAAUUGCGGUCAAUAUCCUUAUUGAUAGGGUCGAUUACUGUAAUGAAGAGGAAAAGCUUCUGUGGUUGACCCAAUGUACAAAACGAAUAAGUGGUUGCUAAUCAAUAAUUGUAAUCUAUGUUAAUGGUUAACAUUAAGACUUGCUUAGCUGCUUAACUUUUCUCUUUAGAUCAUAAACUUGUAUCGAAUCUAUUAUUAUAAUAAGCUCAGGUACAAAUAUGAGAUUAAUUUCUCCAUCUUGUUAUCCUGAGUUAGAAGCUGGAUUUUGUAAGUUGGGGUUUUGGUAUGACUGGACUACUAGCUAUUUUGAAUUGUCCCUACACCUGUAAAAUUGAAAUUGUGCCUUUUUUUUUAUGUUUUAAAUUGUUUUGGGUUGGAAUGUGUGCUGUCAUAUAUUUUUAAUCUUCUAUUCCCAUAUUAAGUGAUUCAUUUUCAGUAAGAGCGUGUCCAGUUGUGAGUAUGUUGAUGCUGCAAAUGACGUCUUCUGGUACUAUAAUUAUGAUGAUAAUCUACGUGGACGAAAUUCGUUAAAAAUAUACGUAACACGACGAGAGCUGACGAAAAAUGUGUGAGUUCCAUUUAUGAUAUUAGUCAAGAUUUUUAGGAAAGAAGUUGAUGCAAAUAUCGCUAUUCACGAGGUCGCUGAUGAAAUGGAAAAGGAGUUUCCUGUAGUGAUUGUUGGCAGUUGGAGAGGCGUUCGAAAUUUUCCUUUUACUUAAAUUUUCUUGUGUUUACAAUAGAAAAAAUAGUCCUUGUGAUGUGUUUUGUAGUCUUUGUUUUCUGAAGCCAUGUUUCCCCGUUACUUGUGAUAACUCCGUAGGCAGUUGUGAUGUUUUGUCAUUAACGUAUCUCAGAAUUAUCAAUAAAACACAUUUUGAAUAAUA